CGAAACCUAGAAAGAGUAACAGUCUCCUCUUCGAUUACACCGCACCUCAUGUGAAACUCCUCAAAUCGUGCAAUGUAAUUGGCAACAGUUGAAGUUCCUUGAGUUAGUUUAUGCCAUCUAUCCAUAAGGCGUUGUCGGUAAGAGAAUGGCAGAUACUUCUCAUUCAGUUUUUCUUUCAUAUCCUCCCAGGUGGUGAUACGUGGAAGCCUCUGGGUCUCACGCCUAUGUUCAACGUUAUGCCAGUACCAGUGAGCUUGCCCAAUAAGCUUCAUUUUAGCAAACCGUACUUUUCUAUCAUCAGUCAUAUCAUACCACUCAAAAUAGUUAUCCAUGGCUGCUCUCCAAUCAAGGUACACGCUCGGCUCUAAUUGACCAGCAAAUGUGGGAGCAUCUACUCAGACGGUACGAAGUAGUCGCUCAUCAAGAUCGCGCUGGUGAUCAGGAGGAAGUUGGUUCCUAGGAGGAUGGGGAAAAGCUACAGGUGGUGUGGUCAAACCAAACUCGGGAUA
rnacentral:lncRNA from 1 species